GUGCUGGAUAAAUGUUUGACGAAUAAAUGAAAGGAUAAUUUAACACAAUAUUAGCGAUGUUAGUAGAAUAAUAACGUGAAUCAGUCUCAAGCAGUCAGUUAUUCUUUCCUGUUUAACUGUCUCCCAGAGACAGCCUUAGGCCUUGGGAGUUGAAUCUGCCUCGGCUGAAUUUUCAAAUGACAUGGCCAGCUUUCUUAAAAAUGUAUUUCCAUUCCAUUCCAUUCCACACUUUGUUAUGAUUCUUGGCUGUCUUCCUGGACCUUGUGACAAAUCCUCGCAGAGAAAAUGCCUUCUACACCGGGACAUUUGCCAAGAAGAAGAGAGGCGCUACAGGAAAGGAACCCCAGAAAGUGGUCCACUGCCAGAAUGAUGACGACUCCUGGAACUUUCUCUGAUUCUUAUUCUCCCUCCUACCUUGCUCAUCAUCUUAUGUAUUCAGCUACGAUGCUUCACCCAGACCAUUGCACAUCACAUCAGAGAGGAAGACACAUGUGUGAUUCAUUUUCUUAAGCCUCAAGUCUAAGGAUUUACCUAAGGACCCAGGAAUGUCAUGAGGUCCUGUUUCCUCCUUUUACUUAAAAAAGUCACCUUCCUGUGAAAUAACCUGCUAUUUUGCCAAACCGGUCUGUCAGUAUAAGGAAGCCUGGGAAUGCCUUAGCGGACCUGUAGAGUAAGUGCUCUAAUAUAUGUACAAUGGGCUGAAAGUAAAAAUGCGUGUGGGAAAGGCCAUAGUCACUAGCAUGCAACCCUGAUGUUUGGGUUUAUCUUUUGUAAAUAAGAGAGAUGUUCUUCUUCUACGUGUACAUAAACACAACAGUUUAGUGUAACCCAAACUGUGCUGUGCGGCCUCAGAGCGCCUGUGGCUUUGCCAAAGCCUCAUGCUCGUGUACACACAUUUCACACGGGGCCCUUCCCGUUGCUAAAGGAGCUCGAGUCACUUUUUUGUGAAUGUCCUGUGAUUGGCAGGAAGGCUGGCUGUUGUAAGUAUCAUAUUGUUCUGCGGUAGAGAAUAUAUUUUAUUGCUAGUUCAAUAGCAUUUCACAGUUAUUAAGCCAGAGUCAUUGUCUCUGCAAGCUCCCGAAGGCUCAGAAACUUUGGGGCACAGGCAAAAAAACCCCACACAUGCUCAAAACCUGUCAGUUAUCCCCAUUGUCCCACUGUGGCUGUCAUACUCUGCCUGCGGUGUUUAAAAUGUUUGGGGGGAAAUGUUGAGAAAGUGGAUUUCUAAGCAUAUCAUGUAUAGCCAUUUUUUUUCAUAAAGAAGAAUUUAUCAGAAAUCACAUUUGUUUUGCAAUGCUUAAAAAUAAAAACACUUGAAAAAUGGCA
rnacentral:lncRNA from 1 species